rnacentral:misc_RNA from 1 species
CAAAGCUCGCGCCCCGCCUAGGCGGGUGCCGGUGUUGGGGAUCGACCUAGGGCCCCCCUGUGGGCCGCGCCGUCCCCUAAAUGCAGUGGCGGACUCGCUGUAGCCUCCCGCGCGUAGUAGCUCUAUUUCGCGCGCGCAGGCCGACGAGCCCCUGCCGUAAAACCCCCAACCUUCUUCA